rnacentral:rRNA from 1 species
UCCUAUGGGGCGCAGCAGUCGGGAAUAUUGCGCAAUGGAGGAAACUCUGACGCAGUGACGCCGCGUAUGGGAAGAAGGUUUUCGGAUUGUAAACCAUUGUCGUUAGGGAAGAAGAAGUGACAGUACCUAAGGAGGAAGCUCCGGCUAACUAUGUGCCAGCAGCCGCGGUAAUACAUAGGGAGCGAGCGUUAUCCGGAUUUACUGGGUGUAAAGGGAGCGUAGACGGAAUUGCAAGUCUGAUGUGAAAAUCCGGGGCCCAACCCCGGAAGUGCAUUGGAAACUGUAUUUCUAGAGUGUCGGAGAGG